rnacentral:rRNA from 1 species
UACGUAGGGGGCGAGCGUUAUCCGGAUUUAUUGGGCGUAAAGCGUGCGUAGGCGGUUUAUUAAGUCUGAAAUUAAAGCCUGAGGCUUAACCUCAGUUCGUUUCAGAUACUGGUAGGCUAGAGUAUGGUAGAGGCAAAUGGAAUUCCUAGUGUAGCGGUGAAAUGCGUAGAUAUUAGGAGGAACACCAGUGGCGAAGGCGAUUUGCUGGGCCAUCACUGACGCUGAGGUACGAAAGCGUGGGUAGC